rnacentral:rRNA from 1 species
UACAGAGGUCCCAAGCGUUGUUCGGAUUCACUGGGCGUAAAGGGUGCGUAGGUGGUGAGGUAAGUCGGAUGUGAAAUCUCCGAGCUCAACUCGGAAACUGCAUUGGAAACUACCUUGCUCGAGGGUUGGAGGGGGGACUGGAAUACUUGGUGUAGCAGUGAAAUGCGUAGAUAUCAAGUGGAACACCUGCGGCGAAGGCGGGUUGCUGGGCUGACACUGACGCUGAAGCGCGAAAGCUAGGGGAGCAAACGGG